GAAUCCGGGGACUUCGGUUCCCGGGUUAGUGGCGCACGGGUGCGUAACGCGUAUGCAACCUACCUUCCACUGGGGGAUAGCCCUCCGAAAGGGGGAUUAAUACCGCAUGACAUGAUAGAGUGGCAUCACUUUAUCAUCAAAGCUGAGGCGGUGGAAGAUGGGCAUGCGUGCCAUUAGCUAGUUGGCGGGGUAGAGGCCCACCAAGGCGACGAUGGCUAGGGGUUCUGAGAGGAUGGUCCCCCACACUGGUACUGAGACACGGACCAGACUCCUACGGGAGGCAGCAGUAGGGAAUAUUGGGCAAUGGCCGAGAGGCUGACCCAGCCAUGCCGCGUGCAGGAAGAAGGCCUUCUGGGUUGUAAACUGCUUUUAUAUAGGAAGAAAACGCCCCUGCGGGGGUAACUGACGGUACUAUAUGAAUAAGCACCGGCUAACUCCGUGCCAGCAGCCGCGGUAAUACGGAGGGUGCGAGCGUUGUCCGGAUUUAUUGGGUUUAAAGGGUGCGUAGGCGGCCCGUUAAGUCAGCGGUGAAAUCCCACGGCUCAACCGUGGAACUGCCGUUGAUACUGGCGGGCUUGAGUUCGGUCGAGGCGGGCGGAACUGGUGGUGUAGCGGUGAAAUGCUUAGAUACCACCAAGAACCCCGAUUGCGUAGGCAGCUCGCUGGGCCGAAACUGACGCUGAGGCACGAAAGCGUGGGGAGCGAACAGGAUUAGAUACCCUGGUAGUCCACGCCGUAAACGAUGAUGACUCGAUGUCGGCGACACACGGUCGGCGUCCAAGCGAAAGCGUUAAGUCAUCCACCUGGGG
rnacentral:rRNA from 1 species